AGGCUGCAGGGUGUGCAGGUUAAUGUUCUAUAUUAGCAGGCUGCAGGGUGUGCAGGUUAAUGUUCUAUCUUAACAGGCUGCAGGGUGUGCAGGUUAAUGUUCUUCUAUCUUAACAGGCUGCAGGGUGUGCAGGUUAAUGUUCUAUCUUAACAGGCUGCAGGAUGUGCAGGUUAAUGUUCUAUCUUAGCAGGCUGCAGGGUGUGCAGGUUAAUGUUCUAUCUUAGCAGGCUGCAGGGUGUGCAGGUUAAUGUUCUAUAUUAGCAGGCUGCAGGGUGUGCAGGUUAAUGUUCUAUCUUAACAGGCUGCAGGGUGUGCAGGUUAAUGUUCUUCUAUCUUAGCAGGCUGCAGGGUGUGCAGGUUAAUGUUCUAUCUUAACAGGCUGCAGGGUGUGCAGGUUAAUGUUCUUCUAUCUUAGCAGGCUGCAGGUGUGCAGGUUAAUGUUCUAUCUUAACAGGCUGCAGGGUGUGCAGGUUAAUGUUCUAUCUUAACAGGCUGCAGGGUGUGCAGGUUAAUGUUUUUCUAUCUUAACAGGCUGCAGGGUGUGCAGGUUAAUGUUCUAUCUUAACAGGCUGCAGGGUGUGCAGGUUAAUGUUCUUCUAUCUUAACAGGCUGCAGGGUGUGCAGGUUAAUGUUCUUCUAUCUUAACAGGCUGCAGGGUGUGCAGGUUAAUGUUCUUCUAUCUUAGCAGGCUGCAGGGUGUGCAGGUUAAUGUUCUUCUAUCUUAACAGGCUGCAGGGUGUGCAGGUUAAUGUUCUAUCUUAACAGGCUGCAGGAUGUGCAGGUUAAUGUUCUAUCUUAGCAGGCUGCAGGGUGUGCAGGUUAAUGUUCUAUCUUAACAGGCUGCAGGAUGUGCAGGUUAAUGUUCUAUCUUAACAGGCUGCAGGAUGUGCAGGUUAAUGUUCUAUCUUAGCAGGCUGCAGGAUGUGCAGGUUAAUGUUCUAUCUUAGCAGGCUGCAGGGUGUGCAGGUUAAUGUUCUAUAUUAGCAGGCUGCAGGGUGUGCAGGUUAAUGUUCUAUCUUAGCAGGCUGCAGGGUGUGCAGGUUAAUGUUCUAUAUUAGCAGGCUGCAGGGUGUGCAGGUUAAUGUUCUAUCUUAACAGGCUGCAGGGUGUGCAGGUUAAUGUUUUUCUAUCUUAACAGGCUGCAGGAUGUGCAGGUUAAUGUUCUAUCUUAACAGGCUGCAGGGUGUGCAGGUUAAUGUUCUUCUAUCUUAACAGGCUGCAGGGUGUGCAGGUUAAUGUUCUUCUAUCUUAACAGGCUGCAGGGUGUGCAGGUUAAUGUUCUUCUAUCUUAGUAGGAUGCAGGGUGUGCAGGUUAAUGUUCUAUCUUAACAGGCUGCAGGGUGUGCAGGUUAAUGUUCUUCUAUCUUAACAGGCUGCAGGGUGUGCAGGUUAAUGUUCUUCUAUCUUAACAGUCUGCAGGGUGUGCAGGUUAAUGUUCUUCUAUCUUAACAGGCUGCAGGGUGUGCAGGUUAAUGUUCUAUCUUAACAGGCUGCAGGGUGUGCAGGUUAAUGUUCUUCUAUCUUAACAGGCUGCAGGGUGUGCAGGUUAAUGUUCUAUCUUAGCAGGCUGCAGGGUGUGCAGGUUAAUGUUCUAUCUUAACAGGCUGCAGGGUGUGCAGGUUAAUGUUCUAUCUUAACAGGCUGCAGGGUGUGCAGGUUAAUGUUCUAUCUUAGCAGGCUGCAGGGUGUGCAGGUUAAUGUUCUAUCUUAACAGGCUGCAGGGUGUGCAGGUUAAUGUUCUUCUAUCUUAACAGGCUGCAGGGUGUGCAGGUUAAUGUUUUUCUAUCUUAACAGUCUGCAGGGUGUGCAGGUUAAUGUUAUUCUGUCUUAACAGGCUGUAGGGUGUGCAGGUUAAUGUUCUUCUAGCUUAGCAGGCUGCAGGGUGUGCAGGUUAAUGUUCUAUCUUAGCAGGCUGCAGUGUGUGCAGGCUUUUGUUCCAGCCCAGCACUAACUCACCUGAUUGAACUGACUUGACUCUGUUCUCUGAUUGGCUACGUUCACCUUCCCCCAGAACCGUGAGCAGCUGCAGGCAGAUCUGAUUGGGUGCCAGGCGAAGAUCGCCGACCUGGAGAAGGCAUUGGCUGAGAGGGGGCAGGACUCUAAGUGGGUGGAGGAGAAGCAGUACUUCAUCAGGACCAAUAAGGAACUCCACGACAAGAUGUGUGUGUUACAGCAAGCUGAGUGGAAGCUGCAGGCGGCGGUGCAGGACGUGAGGGACCAGAAUGAGCUGCUGGAGUUCAGAGUGCUAGAGCUGGAAGUAAGAGAGUGCACCAUCAAACUGUCCCCAGGGGGCGACACCGGUCUCCAGUCCCCACGCAAGACCUACAUACAGUGACCAAAACACACACACAAGCGUGCUAGUAGCAGAGGAGGCUGGUGGGAGGAGCUAUAGCAGGACGGGCUCAUUGUAAUGGCUGGAAUGG